rnacentral:misc_RNA from 1 species
GAUGAAGAACGUAGCGAAAUGCGAAAAGUAGUGUGAAUUGCAGAAUUCCGUGAAUCAUCGAAUCUUUGAACGCACAUUGCGCCCCUCGGUAUUCCGUGGGGCAUGCCUGUUCGAGCGUCAUUUACACCCUCAAGCUCUGCUUGGUGUUGGGCGUCUGUCCCGCUUUAUGCGUGGACUCGCCCCAAAGUCAUUGGCAGCGGUCGUGCCAGCUUCUCGCGCAGCACAUUUGCGUUUCUUGAAGUUUGGUGGAUCAGCAUCCAGUAAGUUCUUUUAUGACUUGACCUCGGAUCAGGUAGGGAUACCCGCUGAACUUAAGCAUAUCAAUAAGCGGAGGA